CUAACCGCCGGCGACAGUUUCUUCCUCGCCGCCACCCAUUUCCUUUUUUAUUCUUUUCUCUCCCGAGUUUUUUCUUCCGCACGGAACUAGGUCUGCAGCGCGCCGCCGACCCGAGUAGCAUCGCCACUGCCCGUCGCCCUAGCCGUGAGAUCCCGAUCACUGGCCGUCGGCUCUCGGUCCCCGAUCGUGACCCCGCCGGUCUCCCUUGUGCCCUAGCCACCUUGCGUCGCCGUCAUAGCCAACGCUGCCGGAGAAGUGCCGUCGGUCGCCUCCUUUGUGCCGGCAACCGAGUCUAGUGCCGAUUUUUCCUCUCUUCCCUUCGCUGUGGAGUUCUGGUGCCACCACCGCCGACGACCGAGCCUAUUGCCGACGCUCUUCCUUCUGUUCUUUGUGUUGUUAGGGCCGAGCCUCACUGAAGGACCUCAUUGUGCCGUCUCUCUUCUGUUCCUGAUCAAUCUUCUUGGUGGAAUUAGGUCACAGUUGAGCAACAACUCUAAGUGGGGCAGCAACUCUUUGGUCUCCAGCAGUAGUUGUUCAUUUCGGCAGGACUGUCCCUAGUUGUGGAUCAACAUCGGUUGCGAGUAGAGGAUUUUGACACGAGACGAGUAUCUCGGAGUCGGAUUGGACCUUUCUAUUUUCGG